rnacentral:rRNA from 1 species
UACGUAGGGUGCGAGCGUUAAUCGGAAUUACUGGGCGUAAAGCGUGCGCAGGCGGUUUUGUAAGCCAGAUGUGAAAUCCCCGGGCUUAACCUGGGAAUGGCAUUUGGGACUGCAAGGCUGGAGUGUGGCAGAGGAGACUGGAAUUCCACGUGUAGCAGUGAAAUGCGUAGAGAUGUGGAGGAAUACCGAUGGCGAAGGCAGCCUCCUGGGCCAACACUGACGCUCAUGCACGAAAGCGUGGGGAGCAAACAGG